GACGAACGCUGGCGGCGUGCCUAAUACAUGCAAGUUGAGCGCUGAAGGUUGGUACUUGUACCAACUGGAUGAGCAGCGAACGGGUGAGUAACGCGUGGGGAAUCUGCCUUUGAGCGGGGGACAACAUUUGGAAACGAAUGCUAAUACCGCAUAAAAACUUUAAACACAAGUUUUAAGUUUGAAAGAUGCAAUUGCAUCACUCAAAGAUGAUCCCGCGUUGUAUUAGCUAGUUGGUGAGGUAAAGGCUCACCAAGGCGAUGAUACAUAGCCUACCUGAGAGGGUGAUCGGCCACACUGGGAGUGAGACACGGCCCAAAGUCCUACGGGAGGCAGCAGGAGGGCAUCUUCGGCAAUGGACGAGAGUCUGACCGCGAAACGCCGCGGGAGUGAAGAAGGUUGUCGGAUCGUAAAACUCUGUUGGUAGAGAAGAACGUUGGUGAGAGUGGAAAGCUCAUCAAGUGACGGUAACUACUCAGAAAGAGACGGCUAACUACGUG
rnacentral:rRNA from 1 species